rnacentral:rRNA from 1 species
GACGAACGCUGGCGGCGUGCUUAACACAUGCAAGUCGAACGGAAAGGCCCUGCUUUUGUGGGGUGCUCGAGUGGCGAACGGGUGAGUAACACGUGAGUAACCUGCCCUUGACUUUGGGAUAACUUCAGGAAACUGGGGCUAAUACCGGAUAGGAGCUCCUGCUGCACAGUGGGGGUUGGAAAGUUUCGGCGGUUGGGGAUGGACUCGCGGCUUAUCAGCUUGUUGGUGGGGUAGUGGCUUACCAAGGCUUUGACGGGUAGCCGGCCUGAGAGGGUGACCGGCCACAUUGGUCCUGAGAUACGGCCCAGACUCCUACGGGAGGCAGCAGUGGGGAAUAUUGCACAAUGGGCGGAAGCCUGAUGCAGCAGCGCCGCGUGCGGGAUGACGUCCUUCGGGUUGUAAACCGCUUUCGCCUGUGGCGAAGCGUGAGUGACGGUAAUGGGUAAAGAAGCACCGGCUAACUACGUG